CUGAACCAUGAAAAUGAGGUCAAGGUCAGAUGACACCUGCCAGUUGGACAUGUACACCUUACAGUCCUUCCAUACACCGAAUAUACUAGCCCUAUUGCUUAUAGUAUCUGAGAUAUGGACCUGACCACCAAAACUUAACCUUGUUCACUGAUCCAUGAAAUGAGGUCGAGGUCAAGUGAAAACUGUCUGACAGACACGAGGACCUUGCAAGGUACGCACAUAUCAAAUAUAGUUAUCCUAUUACUUAUAAUAAGAGAGAAUUCAACAUUACAAAAAAUUUGAACUUUUUUUUCAAGUGGUCACUGAACCAUGAAAAUGAGGUCAAGGACAUUGGACAUG
rnacentral:lncRNA from 1 species